rnacentral:tRNA from 1 species
UGUUUGGCACGAGAGAAUUUGAGUCUCUAAGAGGGAUUUUUUCCCAGAAGAUACACC